CAAUAGCGUAUAUUUAAGUUGUUGCAGUUAAAAAGCUCGUAGUCGGAUUUUGGCUGAGAACGAACGGUCCGCCGUUAGGUGUGCACUGUUUGGUCUCAGCUUCCUGGUGAGGAGGUGUGCUUCACGGCCACUUAGUCACCGUGGUUACUUUGAAAAAAUUAGAGUGUUCAAAGCGGGCUUACGCUUGAAUAUAUUAGCAUGGAAUAACACCAUAGGACUCCUGUCCUAUUUCGUUGGUCUCGGGACGGGAGUAAUGAUUAAGAGGAACAGUUGGGGGCAUUCGUAUUCCGAUGUCAGAGGUGAAAUUCUUGGAUUAUCGGAAGACGAACAUCUGCGAAAGCAUUUGCCAAGGAUGUUUUCAUUAA
rnacentral:rRNA from 1 species